GGGUGCUUGGCGCAAUGGUAGCGCGCGGUCCUCCUACUGCGUAAUAGCUGUAAGACUGAGGUUGAGGGUUCGAGUCCCUUGGUGCUCG
rnacentral:tRNA from 1 species